rnacentral:rRNA from 1 species
AGAGUUUGAUCCUGGCUCAGGACGAACGCUGGCGGCGUGCUUAACACAUGCAAGUCGAACGAGGGCCCGGAGCUUGCUCUGGUGACCCGAGUGGCGGACGGGUGAGUAACACGUGACCAAUCUACCUUUGGGAGGGGGACAACCUGGGGAAACCCGGGCUAAUACCGCAUAUCGUUCACGGGUCGCAUGACCUGUGGAUAAAAGGGAGCCUCUGCUUGCACGCUCCCACCCGAAGAGGAGGUCGCGGCGUAUCAGCUAGUUGGUGGGGUAACGGCCUACCAAGGCAGCGACGCGUAGCGGGUCUGAGAGGACGACCCGUCACAUUGGGACUGAGAUACGGCCCAGACUCCUACGGGAGGCAGCAGUGGGGAAUAUUGCGCAAUGGCCGAAAGGUUGACGCAGCGACGCCGCGUGUGGGAGGACGCCCUUCGGGGUGUAAACCACUGUCAGGGGGGAAGAACUUCGCAGGUGUGAAUAGCGCUUGCGGUUGACGGUACCCCCAGAGGAAGCGCCGGCUAACUCCGUGCCAGCAGCCGCGGUAAGACGGAGGGCGCAAGCGUUGUUCGGAAUUACUGGGCGUAAAGGGCAGGUAGGUGGUCUGUUAAGUCUUCUGUGAAAAUCCGGGGCUCAACCCCGCGAAAUG